ACCAAAGCGGGUGAUGCCAGCCGGGUGUCCCGGCAGAGAAAGGCCAGCCCCAUCCGCCACCGGGCACUGCCCUCCCGAGCCGCUGUUGGCCCUGGCUCCGUCCCCCAGUAUCCGUCCUCCCUGGUGGCGGCGGUGGGGGGGGGGGGCUGGAGUCCUCACUGGCUCUGUCUCCUGACACAACCCCUCCUCCCCCACCGCGAGGACACUGAUAGCUGUCGCCCCGUGUGCGGGAAGCAGGGCUCAGGGCACAGGGCACCGGGCAGCCUCCACCUAAGGGAGCUCGGCCACCACCUGUCAUCAGGGAACUACUGCGCAGGCAGGCAUCCUCGGGCCGCCCUCGCCACCCAAGGGCACCGCCGCGUGCACAGCCCCGUCCGGGGAUGGCGACCUGGGGUCAGUGGACACCUGCCCUCCGGGGGCUCCCGUCUGGUGGUGGAGUGAGGGCGCACCGGUGGAAACCGAGGCUGGGAGAAGCCGUCAGCGGAACCGGAUUUUUACCCCAGUCUGUAUCGUGAGCAGCCACGGCCCUGGCCCCCACUUGUCCGGGGCGCCCUCCCCACGGGCAGCUGCACCCUCUCACACGCGAGAAAUCGAGACUGCGGGGAAAGGGUGCCUGCGAUGGUACCGCACGCACGCGGCCGCCCGCAGGGCCCGAGGAAGCAUCUGGGCAAACACUUUGCAAAAUGAAUAAAUGAGCCCAUAAGGUGA